UGGGGAAUAUUGGACAAUGGGGGCAACCCUGAUCCAGCAAUGCCGCGUGUGUGAAGAAGGCCCUAGGGGUUGUAAAAGCACUUUCAAUUGGGGAAGAAAAGUUCCGGGUUAAUACCCCGUGGACCAUGACGGUACCUUUAGAAGAAGCACCGGCUAACUCCGUGCCAGCAGCCGCGGUAAUACGUAGGGUGCAAGCGUUGUCCGGAAUUAUUGGGCGUAAAGAGCUCGUAGGCGGUCCGUUGCGUCUGCCGUGAAAACCCGGAGCUCAACUCCGGGCCUGCGGUGGAUACGGGCGGACUAGAGUCCGGUAGGGGGAGACUGGAAUUCCUGGUGUAGCGGUGGAAUGCGCAGAUAUCAGGAGGAACACCGGUGGCGAAGGCGGGUCUCUGGGCCGGAACUGACGCUGAGGAGCGAAAGCGUGGGGAGCGAACAGGAUUAGAUACCCUGGUAGUCCACGCCGUAAACGAUGUCAACUAGCCGUUGGGGAACUUGAUUCUUUAGUGGCGCAGCUAACGCGAUAAGUUGACCGCCUGGGGGAGUACGGCCGCAAGGUUAAAACUCAAAUGAAUUGACGG
rnacentral:rRNA from 1 species